rnacentral:rRNA from 1 species
UACGAAGGGGGCAAGCGUUGUUCGGAAUUACUGGGCGUAAAGGGCGCGUAGGCGGCUUAUCAAGUCAGGCGUGAAAUUCCCGGGCUCAACCUGGGGGCUGCGCUUGAUACUGAUUGGCUUGAAUGCGGGAGAGGAUAGUGGAAUUCCCAGUGUAGAGGUGAAAUUCGUAGAUAUUGGGAAGAACACCGGUGGCGAAGGCGGCUAUCUGGCCCGUAAUUGACGCUGAGGCGCGAAAGCCAGGGGAGCAAACGGG